rnacentral:rRNA from 1 species
UACGUAGGGGGCAAGCGUUGUCCGGAUUUAUUGGGCGUAAAGAGCGUGUAGGCGGCCAUGUAGGUCCGUUGUGAAAACUCGAGGCUCAACCUCGAGACGCCGAUGGAAACCAUGUGGCUAGAGUCCGGAAGAGGAGAGUGGAAUUCCUGUUGUAGCGGUGAAAUGCGCAGAUAUCAGGAAGAACACCCGUGGCUAAGGCGGCUCUCUAGUACGGUACUGACGCUGAGACGCGAAAGCGUGGGGAGCAAACAGG